CUUAUCAACACUUCCACGACAUAGAAAACCAACCUCUACUUAUUCAGGUGUGUGACUAAGGAUGAAGAAAUUAAAGAUGAUAGAGGACUUGCACUACAAAGUCUGGAUGGGAUAG